AGAGUUUGAUCCUGGCUCAGGACAAACGCUGGCGGCGUGCAUAACACAUGCAAGUCUAACGGGAAAGUCGGCUUCGGCUGGCAAGUACCGUGGCGAACAGGUGAGUAACACGUGGGUAAUCUAACCUCGAGUUUGGGAUAACUUUGUGAAAGCGGGGCUAAUACCGAAUAAGACCACGCUCUGUCCGCAGAGUGCGGUAAAAGGCGGCCUCUUCUUGAAAGCUGUCACUUGAGGAUGAGCCCGCGGCCUAUUAGCUAGUUGGUGGGGUAAAUGCUCCCCAAGGCGACGAUCAGUAGCUGGUCUGAGAGGAUGAUCAGCCACACUGGGACUGAGACACGGCCCAGACUCCUACGGGAGGCAGCAGUGGGGAAUUUUGGACAAUGGGCGCAAGCCUGAUCCAGCCAUGCCGCGUGCGGGAAGAAGGCCUUCGGGUUGUAAACCGCUUUCGGCCGGAACGAAAUCGCCCGGGUGAACAUCCCGGGUGCAUGACGGUACCUCCUUAGCAAGCACCGGCUAACUUCGUGCCAGCAGCCGCGGUAAUACGGAGGGUGCAAGCGUUGUUCGGAAUUAUUGGGCGUAAAGGGCGCGUAGGCGGUAAUGCAAGUCAGAUGUGAAAUACUCCGGCUCAACUGGGGAACUGCAUCUGAAACUGCAUAACUAGAGUACAGAAGAGGGAAACGGAAUUCCCGGUGUAGAGGUGAAAUUCGUAGAUAUCGGGAGGAACACCAGUGGCGAAGGCGGUUUCCUGGUCUGAUACUGACGCUGAGGCGCGAAAGUGUGGGGAGCAAACAGGAUUAGAUACCCUGGUAG
rnacentral:rRNA from 1 species